AUGUCAGAGAUCCGCCGCGACGUGCCGGAAGGGACGGGGGCGGGGGCGGAGGGGAAGGGCGCCGAUUCCCACGUCGGCAGCCGGGCGGCGCGGCGCCGGAGGAUGGAGAUACGGCGGCAUAGACUGGUGGCCGAGCAUGGUGCGGAGGAGGUGUCCAGGAAGAGGCGGAAGUUGGAUGGAGAAUCCUCGACGGACGAGGAGGAGAUUGAGCCCGCCAAGUACGGCGUCACGUCGGUGUGCGGCCGACGGAGGGACAUGGAGGACGCGGUUUCCGUCAGGCCCGAGUUCCUCCCCGGCCACCACUUCUUCGGGGUCUUCGACGGCCAUGGCUGCUCGCAUGUUGCUACGUCGUGCGGGGAGCGGAUGCACGAGAUCGUGGCCGAGGAGACCGGCGGCGCUCGCUCGUUGGGGUCAGACGACGCGGACAGGUGGAUGGGUGUCAUGGAGAGGAGCUUCGCGCGGAUGGACGCCGAGGCCGUGAGCUCAAGGUCUAGGGCCAGCGGAGCGCCCACCUGCCGCUGCGAGUUGCAGCUGCCCAAGUGCGACCACGUCGGCUCCACGGCCGUCGUCGCCGUGGUCGGCCCUCGCCACCUCGUCGUCGCCAACUGCGGUGACAGCCGUGCGGUCAUCGGCCGCGGGGGCGCCGCCAUCCCACUCUCAUCCGACCACAAGCCGGAUCGCCCCGACGAGCUGGAGCGGAUCCAAGCGGCCGGAGGGCGCGUCAUCUUCUGGGACGGCGCCCGCGUCUUCGGCGUGCUCGCCAUGUCCCGGGCGAUUGGAGACAGCUACCUGAAGCCAUUUGUGAUAUCCGACCCGGAGGUGAGGGUCCUGGACAGGAAGGACGGCGAGGACGAGUUCCUCAUCCUCGCCAGCGACGGCCUGUGGGACGUGGUGAGCAACGAGGUGGCUUGCCACGUGGUGCGAUCGUGCGUGCGCAGCAAGGCGAAGCGCCGCGGCGGUCGGUCGAGCCCGACCUCCAACCUGAGCCCCAGGCAGAGCAGUGGAAGCGGCAGCGGCAGCAGCAGCGGCGACGAAGCCCAGAACGACGGCGGUGGUUGUGCCGACGCACGCUCCGAGAGCGACGAGGAGAGCGGCGAGGACGUGGACGAGGCAUGCGCCGAGGCGGCCAUCCUGCUGACCAAGCUGGCGAUAGCGCGGCAGAGCUCGGACAACGUCAGCGUCGUCGUCGUCAACCUCAGGAGGCGCCGCCCGAGAUUCUGA
rnacentral:rRNA from 1 species